rnacentral:lncRNA from 1 species
GUUUUAAGCUGGGAAUGCCCUUAGCAGAUUUCUAUGCUGAGGAAAGGGAGCUAGUAGAGGUGAGGCUGAAGAUGCUAGCAAGAGGACAGUGAUGGCUGACACCAUAGAUGUAGGGGGAUCGAAGUCCCAGACCAGAGAACACUCCCCUGCCCUCCUGGUUUGGUGGGAGCUAGAUGGCUCCUGCCUUGUGGCCUGUAUUUUCUCGAAGGAGGUGGCAGAGGGUGAGGGAAUGAGUAGUUGGGGGACUGAGGAUAGUGGAGGAGGCGUGUAACAGCCAGUCUGAGAGGAAAAGAGAAGGGGUUGCCAAGAGAAACAACUGAAAUAGGAAGUAAUACAGAUGCUCCUCGAUUCGCAAGGGGCUACAGCCCCAUAAACCUGUUGUAUGUGGAAAAUGCAUUUAAUGUGGACAGCACAGCAGACAGUCCCCCGACUGAUAAUGGUUUGAUUUCAGAUGUUUCAACUUUAUGAUGGUGUGAAAGCAUUACACUUUCAGUAGAAACCAUAACCCCAUCGUAAGUCAUAAGGAGUUCUUUGACUUAGGUUGGGG